rnacentral:rRNA from 1 species
UUAUAAUAAGUUACUAAGAGCUUAUGGUGAAUGCCUUGGGACAAACAGGCGAUGAAGGACGUGCUAAUCUGCGAUAAGCAACGGGUAGCUGAUAAGAGGCUUUAAUCCGUUGAUCUCCGAAUGAGGAAACUCAAUCUAAUGAGAAUUAGAUUACUGUAUAAAUGAAUUCAUAGUUUAACAGAGCGAUACCUGGUGAAGUGAAACAUCUCAGUAACCAGAGGAAAAGAAAACGAAGUGAUUCCCUGUGUAGCGGCGAGCGAAAGGGGAGCAGGCCAAACCGAAUUUCGAUUCGGGGUUGUAGGACUACAAUAUGGAAUAAAGAAUGAUAGUAGAAUUGGUUGGGAAGCCAAAUCAUAGAGGGUGAUAAUCCCGUAUACGAAAUCAUUCUUUUACCUAGUAGGAUCCUGAGUAGGGCGGGACACGUGAAAUCCUGUCUGAAUCCACCCAGACCAUUGGGUAAGCCUAAAUACUAGUUUGUCACCGAUAGAGCAUAGUACCGUGAGGGAACGGUGAAAAGAACCCAGAGAUGGGAGUGAAAUAGAACCUGAAACCAUAAGCUUACAAGGUGUUAGAGCACAUUAAUGUGUGAUAGCGUGCCUUUUGAAGUAUGAGCCAGCGAGUUAUUAUAGCAUGCGAGGUUAAAUCGUAGAGAUGGAGCCGUAGGGAAACCGAGUCUUAAUAGGGCGUUUUAGUAUGUCAUAAUAGACGCGAAACGGGGUGAUCUAUCCAUGGGCAGGUUGAAGGUGAAGUAACAUUCACUGGAGGACCGAACCCACUUUCGUUGAAACGACAGGGGAUGACCUGUGGAUAGUGGUGAAAUUCCAAUCGAACUCCGUGAUAGCUCGUUCUCGUCGAAAUAUUUUUAGGAAUAGCGUUAGAUUAUUGGGAAUAUGGGGGUAAAGCACUGAAUCUAUGAUGGCGCCACCUCGGUGUACUGAAUAGAAUCAAACUCUGAAUACCAUAUUACCUAUUCUAGCAGUCAGACAGUGGGGGAUAAGCUUCAUUGUCGCGAGGGAAACAGCCCAGAUCAUUAACUAAGGUCCCUAAUAUAUGCUAAGUGGAAAACGAUGUUGAGUUUCAUAAACAGCAAGGAUGUUGGCUUAGAAGCAGCCACCGUUUAAAGAGUGCGUAACAGCUCACUUGUCGAGAGACUCUGCGCGGAAGAUGUAACGGGGCUAAGCAUAUAACCGAAGUUAUGGGUUACAUAUUAUAUAUGUAGCGGUAGACGAGUGUUGUAUAUGGGGCGAAGGUAGACUGUGAAGACUACUGGACUUUAUACAAGUAAGAAUGCUGGCGUGAGUAACGAAUGAGAGUGAGAAUCUCUCAAACCGAUUGACUAAGGGUUCCUGGGCAAGGGUCGUCCUCCCAGGGUAAGUCGGAUCCUAAGGCGAGGCUGAAAAGCGUAGUCGAUGGAAAACAGGUUAAUAUUCCUGUACCUACAAAUUGUGUGAUGGAGUGACGGAGAAGGUUAUUAUGUGCCGGUUAUUGGAUUCCGGUUUAAAUAACAAGGUUAGUAAGUUGGCAAAUCCGCUUACUAUUAGGACCAAGUUAUGAAUACGAGCGACCCCUUCGGGCAGUAGCGAAGACAUAUACAUCAUGCUUCCAAGAAAAGCUUCUAGCGUUAAACAAUUGGUAGUCCGUACCGAGAACGAACACACGUGGUCAAGGAGAAUAUCCUAAGGUUAGCGAGUUAACUACAGUUAAGGAACUCUGCAAAUUAACCCCGUACGUUAGCAAUAAGGGGUGCUCGCUGUAAAAGGUGAGCCGCAGUGAAUAGCGAGGGGGGACUGUUUAACAAAAACACAGCUCUAUGCUAAGUCGUAAGACGAUGUAUAUGGGGUGACACCUGCCCAAUGCUGUAAGGUUAAAGAAGAAUGUUAGCGCAAGCGAAGCUUUUAACUGAAGCCCCAGUGAAUGGCGGCCGUAACUAUAACGGUCCUAAGGUAGCGAAAUUCCUUGUCGGGUAAAUUCCGUCCCGCUUGAAUGGUGUAACCAUCUCUUGACUGUCUCAACUGUAGACUCGGUGAAAUCCUGGUGAGGGUGAAGACGCCCUCUUGGCGUGAUUGGACGGAAAGACCCCAUGAAGCUUUACUGUAGCUUAAUAUUGGGAAAUUUUAUUACUUGUAGAGCAUAGGUAGGAGACUGUGAAGUAUACUCGCUAGGGUAUAUGGAGUCAACGUUGGAAUACUACCCUUGUGAUAAGAUUUCUCUAACCUGCAGCCAUGAAUCUGGCUGGGGGACAGUGUUAGGUGGGCAGUUUGACUGGGGCGGUCGCCUCCCAAAAGGUAACGGAGGCGCGCAACGGUACCCUCAGCACGGUUGGAAAUCGUGUAUAGAGUGUAAUGGUAUAAGGGUGCUUGACUGUGAGACUUACAAGUCGAACAGGUAGGAAACUAGGUCAUAGUGAUCCGGUGGCUCAGAAUGGAAUGGCCAUCGCUCAACGGAUAAAAGCUACUCUGGGGAUAACAGGCUGAUAGUGCCCAAGAGUUCAUAUCGACGGCACUGUUUGGCACCUCGAUGUCGACUCAUCUCAUCCUGGAGCUGAAGCAGGUUCCAAGGGUUCGGCUGUUCGCCGAUUAAAGAGAUACGUGAGUUGGGUUCAAACCGUCGUGAGACAGGUUGGUCCCUAUCUGUCAUGCCCGUAGGAAGAUUGAGAAGAGCUGUUCCUAGUACGAGAGGACCGGAAUGGACACACCUCUUGUGAUCCUGUUGUCGCGCCAGCGGCACUGCAGGGUAGCAACGUGUGGAAUAGAGAAACGCUGAAAGCAUCUAAGUGUGAAACUAACUUCAAGAUUAAUCUUCCCUUUCUUAAAUGAAGUAAGAAUCGUUAAAGACUAUAACGUUGAUAGGUCGGAUGUGUACGCACGGUGACGUGUUUAGCUAACCGAUACUAAUAAUUCGAGGACUUAUAUAAGUUCUUAG